UACGUAGGUGGCAAGCGUUGUCCGGAUUUACUGGGCGUAAAGGGCGUGCAGGCGGUUUGGUAAGUCUAGGGUGAAAGCUCCCGGCUCAACUGGGAGAGGUCCUUGGAUACUGGCAGACUUGAGGAGGGUAGAGGAGAGUGGAAUUCCCGGUGUAGUGGUGGAAUGCGUAGAUAUCGGGAGGAACACCAGUGGCGAAGGCGGUUGCCUGGGGCUUUGCUGACGCUGAUGCGCGAAAGCGUGGGGAGCGAUCCGG
rnacentral:rRNA from 1 species